rnacentral:sRNA from 1 species
AUUCUUAAUUCUUCUCUUGUUCUU